rnacentral:rRNA from 1 species
UACGGAGGAUCCGAGCGUUAUCCGGAUUUAUUGGGUUUAAAGGGAGCGUAGGCGGGUUGUUAAGUCAGUUGUGAAAGUUUGCGGCUCAACCGUAAAAUUGCAGUUGAUACUGGCGACCUUGAGUGCAACAGAGGUAGGCGGAAUUCGUGGUGUAGCGGUGAAAUGCUUAGAUAUCACGAAGAACUCCGAUUGCGAAGGCAGCUUACUGGAUUGUAACUGACGCUGAUGCUCGAAAGUGUGGGUAUCAAACAGGAUUAGAUACCCUGGUAGUCCACACAGUAAACGAUGAAUACUCGCUGUUGGCGAUAUACGGUCAGCGGCCAAGCGAAAGCAUUAAGUAUUCCACCUGGGGAGUACGCCGGCAACGGUGAAACUCAAAGGAAUUGACGGGGGCCCGCACAAGCGGAGGAACAUGUGGUUUAAUUCGAUGAUACGCGAGGAACCUUACCCGGGCUUAAAUUGCAACUGACUGAACCGGAAACGGUUCUUUCUUCGGACAGUUGUGAAGGUGCUGCAUGGUUGUCGUCAGCUCGUGCCGUGAGGUGUCGGCUUAAGUGCCAUAACGAGCGCAACCCUUAUCGAUAGUUACCAUCAGGUUAUGCUGGGGACUCUGUCGAGACUGCCGUCGUAAGAUGUGAGGAAGGUGGGGAUGACGUCAAAUCAGCACGGCCCUUACGUCCGGGGCUACACA